UGGAAUCAUAGAUUAAGGGGAUAACAUCUAAGGAUUCACGCAAUUGGGAGAGGGAUUUGAUUGACAGCAACGAGUAUAACAAGAUAUCGCUCAAGUUUCAAAGUGGAAGAUGAAGGAGAUCGAACUUACCGGGAUCAGAAGAUACGCGUGUGAUGGCAAGAAUACCAGAGAGAGAAUUGAAGAAGAUGAUGAUUAGAGGGAGAUUGAGAGAUGAAGAGAAUCCAGAGGAAAUCAGGAGAUGGAAGAGGUGAAGAUUUGAUGGAGAUUUCAGAGCUUGAAGGUUGAAUAGAGAUUGAAGAUCUUGUGGUGAGAUUGAAGAAGAAUGGUGGAGAAUCAAGGUUCUUGGAGAGAGUGGAGAGAUGAGUGGAGGUUUUUGUGAAUGAAGAUUAUAAGUUUGAGAUGAAGCAGAGAAAAAAAAUGGUGGAGAGAGCUUUGAAUUGGGUGGAGGUUUGUUUAAAUAGAGAUUGAUGGAGAAGAAGUUUUCUGAAUUCAGUUAUGGGGUGGUUACAAAUUCUGUUAUGGGGGUUACAGGUUUGCAAGCUCUGUGAUGGCACAAUGUAGGUUGGAAAAAGUUAUGAACAAAGGGCAUGUUUGGAUUGGAUUCUUGCAUUCUGAACCGACUAGCUUUUUGGACUAUGAAGCGGGUUCAGUACUAAAUUUGAACAAAUCCAUGGCAUGGGAAGCUACUUGGAGAGAAGGCACACGGUUGAAAGAUCAAGACAAUGGACUUUAGGAAAUUCUAGUUGACUUUGUAUAGAUUUUCUUGUAUGAAUUUUCUGAUGUAUGUAAUGAUAAUUGGGUUUUAAAGUGGGAGGAAGAAAGAUUGUUAGUAAGAAGUUUGUGACUUUGGUUACAAUGGCUUUUUUUUUGUAAUUCAAUUUUUGUGAUAAAUUGCAUGGACUAGACUUUUGACUUGUGAGUUUAAAUGAUGCUUGAACAAAGGUUUUGUAA